rnacentral:tRNA from 1 species
GCCCUGGUGGCACAGUGGUUGAGCUUUUGUCUGUUAACUGAAAGGUCAGUGGUUCGAGCCCACUCAGCAGCU